rnacentral:rRNA from 1 species
GACGACAAGACCCUAAAAGCUUAAAUUUAUUUAGCCCCUGGUGUAUAAGUGAGCGGGGGUAGAUAUUGUUUUCUGGGGUAGUAUAUUUAAUUUUUUGUUUUUGGCGGAAGCUCGCAGGUUGUUAGAUCCUUAAAUAAGGAUAGGUGAAUUAGUUACUUUAGGGCUAACAGCGUAAUUUUGCUAUAGAGACCGUAUCGAAAGCAUAGAUUACGACCUCGAUGUUGAAUUAUAAGAUUACAGUGGGGAAGAAUAUACUGUCACAAGUUUGUUCAACUUUUUAAUUUUUACAUGAUCUGAGU